rnacentral:lncRNA from 1 species
AGGGUUUCUGCCAUCAGAUCCCUCACUACGGAUCGUAUGCUGAUGGACUUCCCUGGACCUGCUACCUGAGACCUGCUGCUUCCUCCCAGACUUACUCUGCGGCUUCUUCCUGGACCCACCCGGUACCUGCACCCUCCCGUUGCCCACGAUUGGCCUCGGUGCUCCUGCCUUUCAGCCUCAGACCAUCGGAAUGUCGUGCAAUGGGACUACUGCCGGAUCCUGAUGGAUCAUGUCAUACUGUGGGGAAGCAUCACGGAUGGAAAGCUGUGUGGAGCCCCACAUGACAAGUUGCAGAGGCCACUGAAGGAAAAGGGGAAUCAAGCCAAUUUGCAGAGGUAAAGGCUGUCCAACUGGCAUUAGCUGUUGCUGAACAGGAGAGAUGGCCAAUGCUUUACCUUUUAC